GCCUGGCUGGCUCAGUAGGUAGAGCAGGCGACUCUUGAUCUCAGGGUCAUGAGUUCAAGCCCCAUGUGGGACA
rnacentral:tRNA from 1 species